AGAUGAUCCGCAGGCUUCCGUCCCUUCCGGUUUGGGCCACCUGUCGUCAAGGUGACGGUUUGCUUGGAGGCCCGAGGUGACCCUGACCUUGGAGCCGCGCCUCAGGUUGCAAGAUCCCUGCUAAAGCACAUGGGUAAGCAGAGGAAGAUGGCCUAGAGCCUUGGGACCCUGCAUUCCUGUGGGAGACCCAGAUGAGAAUCCUGGUAUGUGUAAAUAUCAAGAUACCUUGGGUUCAUUGUCUCUCUGGGACUUACAACGACCCUAAAAGGCAGGGACUUUGAUCCCCAUUGUAGA